UCUAGGCCAUUAACAGGCCAAACUUGGCCCGUAAUGAGGCCAGAGAUAGCAGAGAUACAAGAUCUGGUCGGGAUUGCGAAUGGUAGUGGUAGUGGGAGUUCGCCUGGAGCUGAAGGUGGAGGUGGUAGAAGCGGAUUCGAGAUGGGCCGCCUCGAUAUGCAUUUUGAGUUGACAACUAAUUGGCGCAACUCCAUCCCCUUCCCCAUUGCCGACCAAUUAAUGAAAGCCAACCAGUGAGGAUUCUUACCUGGACCAGAAACUCCAACGAAAAGCAAAGGCGCAGAUAAACCAUUGCCAAAGGAGCCUAGCGAGGAGGAGGGGCUGGAGCGGAGGAUCCGAGGACAUGUCGAUGUCGCCACCAACUGACGCCAGACGAGGACAGCGGCCACGUCGGUACGACUUUCAAGUCCAAGGCGGCAUCGCCGGCAGCCAUAAUGCAAAGAGGAGCUCCAGAGGCAAUUACCAUGAGUUGGAGUUACAGUUGCCAGGAUGGUGAUGGAGCUAGAGAUGGACCUGAAGAUGGAGUCCGGGAUGGGGCA